UACGGAGGAUGCGAGCGUUAUCCGGAUUUAUUGGGUUUAAAGGGUGCGUAUGCGGCUUUUUAAGUCAGCGGUGAAAUUUUGCAGCUUAACUGUAACAGUGCCGUUGAUACUGGGGAGCUAGGAUUUGGUUGCUGUGGGUGGAAUGUGUGGUGUAGCGGUGAAAUGCUUAGAGAUCACACAGAAUAUCGAUUGCGAAGGCAGCUCACAAAGCCAAGAUUGACGCUGAGGCACGAAAGUGUGGGGAUCAAACAGGA
rnacentral:rRNA from 1 species